rnacentral:rRNA from 1 species
UACGGAGGGGGCUAGCGUUGUUCGGAAUUACUGGGCGUAAAGCGCACGUAGGCGGCUUUGUAAGUUAGAGGUGAAAGCCCAGGGCUCAACCCUGGAAUUGCCUUUAAGACUGCAUCGCUAGAAUUGUGGAGAGGUAAGUGGAAUUCCGAGUGUAGAGGUGAAAUUCGUAGAUAUUCGGAAGAACACCAGUGGCGAAGGCGACUUACUGGACACAUAUUGACGCUGAGGUGCGAAAAGCGUGGGGAGCAAACAGG